AACGAACGCUGGCGGCAGGCUUAACACAUGCAAGUCGAGCGCCCCGCAAGGGGAGCGGCAGACGGGUGAGUAACGCGUGGGAACGUACCUUUUGGUUCGGAACAACUCCGGGAAACUGGAGCUAAUACCGGAUAAGCCCUAACGGGGAAAGAUUUAUCGCCGAAAGAUCGGCCCGCGUCUGAUUAGCUAGUUGGUGAGGUAACGGCUCACCAAGGCGACGAUCAGUAGCUGGUCUGAGAGGAUGAUCAGCCACACUGGGACUGAGACACGGCCCAGACUCCUACGGGAGGCAGCAGCGGGGAAUAUUGGACAAUGGGCGCAAGCCUGAUCCAGCCAUGCCGCGUGAGUGAUGAAGGCCUUAGGGUUGUAAAGCUCUUUUGUCCGGGAAGAUAAUGACUGUACCGGAAGAAUAAGCCCCGGCUAACUUCGUG
rnacentral:rRNA from 1 species